GGUGCUGUGGCUGAGGUUAAUAAACGGUGCUGUGGCUGAGGUUAAUACAUGGUGCUGUGGCUGAGGUUAAUAAACGGUGCUGUGGCUGAGGUUAAUAAACGGUGCUGUGGCUGAGGUUAAUAAAUGGUGCUGUGGCUGAUAAACGGUGCUGUGGCUGAGGUUAAUAAACGGUGCUGUGGCUGAGGUUAAUACGCGGUGCUGUGGCUGAGGUUAAUACACGGUGCUGUGGCUGAGGUUAAUACACGGUGCUGAGGUUAAUACACGGUGCUGUGGCUGAGGUUAAUAAACGGUGCUGUGGCUGAGGUUAAUAAACGGUGCUGUGGCUGAGGUUAAUAAACGGUGCUGUGGCUGAGGUUAAUAAACGGUGCUGUGGCUGAGGUUAAUACACGGUGCUGUGGCUGAGGUUAAUAAACGGUGCUGUGGCUGAGGUUAAUACACGGUGCUGUGGCUGAGGUUAAUACACGGUGCUGAGGUUAAUAAACGGUGC
rnacentral:lncRNA from 1 species